GGAGUUUGAUCCUGGCUCAGAUUGAACGCUGGCGGCAUGCCUUACACAUGCAAGUCGAACGGCAGCACGAGAGCUUGCUCUUGGUGGCGAGUGGCGAACGGGUGAGUAGUAUAUCGGAACGUACCCUAGAGUGGGGGAUAACGUAGCGAAAGUUACGCUAAUACCGCAUACGAUCUACGGAUGAAAGUGGGGGAUCGCAAGACCUCAUGCUCAUGGAGCGGCCGAUAUCUGAUUAGCUAGUUGGUGGGGUAAAAGCUCACCUAGGCGACGAUCAGUAGCUGGUCUGAGAGGACGACCAGCCACACUGGAACUGAGACACGGUCCAGACUCCUACGGGAGGCAGCAGUGGGGAAUUUUGGACAAUGGGCGCAAGCCUGAUCCAGCAAUGCCGCGUGAGUGAAGAAGGCCUUCGGGUUGUAAAGCUCUUUUGUCAGGGAAGAAACGGUGGACUCUAAUACAGAUCACUAAUGACGGUACCUGAAGAAUAAGCACCGGCUAACUACGUGCCAGCAGCCGCGGUAAUACGUAGGGUGCAAGCGUUAAUCGGAAUUACUGGGCGUAAAGCGUGCGCAGGCGGUUGUGCAAGACAGAUGUGAAAUCCCCGGGCUCAACCUGGGAAUUGCAUUUGUGACUGCACGGCUAGAGUGUGUCAGAGGGGGGUAGAAUUCCACGUGUAGCAGUGAAAUGCGUAGAGAUGUGGAGGAAUACCGAUGGCGAAGGCAGCCCCCUGGGAUAACACUGACGCUCAUGCACGAAAGCGUGGGGAGCAAACGGGAUUAGAUACCCUGGUAGUCCACGCCCUAAACGAUGUCUACUAGUUGUCGGGUCUUAAUUGACUUGGUAACGCAGCUAACGCGUGAAGUAGACCGCCUGGGGAGUACGGUCGCAAGAUUAAAACUCAAAGGAAUUGACGGGGACCCGCACAAGCGGUGGAUGAUGUGGAUUAAUUCGAUGCAACGCGAAAAACCUUACCUACCCUUGACAUGUCUGGAAUCCUUGAGAGAUCAGGGAGUGCUCGAAAGAGAAUCAGAACACAGGUGCUGCAUGGCUGUCGUCAGCUCGUGUCGUGAGAUGUUGGGUUAAGUCCCGCAACGAGCGCAACCCUUGUCAUUAGUUGCUACGAAAGGGCACUCUAAUGAGACUGCCGGUGACAGACCGGAGGAAGGUGGGGAUGACGUCAAGUCCUCAUGGCCCUUAUGGGUAGGGCUUCACACGUCAUACAAUGGUACAUACAGAGGGCCGCCAACCCGCGAGGGGGAGCUAAUCCCAGAAAGUGUAUCGUAGUCCGGAUUGUAGUCUGCAACUAGACUACAUGAAGUUGGAAUCGCUAGUAAUCGCGGAUCAGCAUGUCGCGGUGAAUACGUUCCCGGGUCUUGUACACACCGCCCGUCACACCAUGGGAGCGGGUUUCACCAGAAGUGGGUAGCCUAACCGCAAGGAGGGCGCUCACCACGGUGGGAUUCGUGACUGGGGUGAAGUCGUAACAAGGUA
rnacentral:rRNA from 1 species